GGCGACCGGUCCGCCCCUCACGGUGUGUGCACCUGGUCUCUGCGUCCAUUCCUCGGGGAGAGCGCGUCUGGCAUUCAGUUGUCGGGCGCGGGAUCCUCGUCAUUUACUGUGAGCAAAAUAGAGUGUUCAAAGCAGGCUUAUGUCGUUGAAUACAUUAUUAUGGAAUAAUAAGAUAGGACCUUGGUCUAUUUUGUUGGUUUGCAUUCCAAGGCAAUGAUUAAUAGGGAUAGUUGGGGGUAUUCUUAUUCAAUUGUCAGAGGCGUAAUUCUUGGAUUUAUGGAAUACGAACUACUGCGAAAGCAUUUACUAAGGAUGU
rnacentral:rRNA from 1 species